rnacentral:lncRNA from 1 species
CAAGGUAUCAGAGGCUGGAGGAACACUGCAUGGACUGUUCUUGUCCUGGAUCCUCCUCAUCAGUGCUUUGAACUGUAUGAAGCCCUGAGAACCAAGCCAAUGUGAGUGCAUGACCAGGUUUCUCUCAUGGUCUAUACCUGAAGAGCAAAAAGUUCCAUCCUUUGCUUCUGCAGGUUCCUGAUGCUGAAGGUCUGACCUUAAAAUGAGCAGUGCAUAGGGCAAGUGAGCUUCUGGCCUUCAACCCUUCCGAAUGCAGCUAUUUUGGUUGCCUGUGUCUGUUUAUGGCCCUAAAUGAAGAUUUGCAGAAGUCUGCAGCUUUCUGUAACUUCAUGACCAUGUUUCAGUGCCUGCUGCACCCACAAACUGAACCAUUCUUCCCAGGAAUUUCCAUGCAGAUCUGAGGAGAACUGCAAUCCCGUGCAGCUGUGAGAAGUUCAGACUUGGAUUUCUUGUCCUGGUUUGCUACAAUGCAACUGUCCUCAUUAAUGUACUUCAAGCCCUGAUGUAUUGGGACCACCAUGGUUGGCAAGUUCUUGUUAACCAGUUCCUGUUGACAACCAGGGAACAGGCACAAGUCAGCUCAGAAAAUGAACGACUAGAAGGCUUUGGAAGAAGCAAUUUUCAUGCAGAUAUGUGGCUGGAAUAUGAACGGUACUCCAAGGUACACCUCAACUCGGGCUUCAGAUCACACCAUUAAGCAAUGAGGUGACAAACCAGUUUCCUUUCUCAAGCCAAUUGUCACGUAACUGCCAAGGGGCCCCUGAUUUUUUCCAUAAGAGAUGUACCUGUGCAAUCCAUUCCUACCCUGUAUGCUUAGCAGGAGGAGAUAAAACUGCUCAUUUCCAUUUGGGACAUUUCUAAGCCAGGAAGAAAAGCACAAGGCGUCAGAGCAGCCACCUGUUAGGCAUUGACAAAGGAACCUCCCCACACCAUUAAGUGGAGAUGAUUUCCCAGGGUUAAUGUAAACCACUAUAAAGGGUGAUGGUAACUUUCUAACCACCAACAAGUUUUGUUACUCCUAGAUGAGGCAGCAAACAUAUUCAACCCCAUAUACUCUGCAGUUAACAGAUAUGCUUUAACGAAGAAAGCCCUGAUCAGUGGAGUAUUGUAGGAUAAUACAUGCUACAGCAUUAGUAGAAGUCCAAAUGGCCCAAGGAGCAUCUGUUACCAACACAAAAAUAGUGGGUAAAAGCUAUCGUAAUUCCUGAACCCAGGAACCUGUCUGGAGGCACAGACUUCCCAAGCCAGAGGGGACUUAGAGAACUUGGGAUGUUCAGCAAGAUCUCAUCUCCCCAUGGGUUUACCACAUCAGCUCAGUCCAGGCCAAAUGGGCAGGACAAAGUCCUCAGCUACACUCCAAGUUAAUUUCUCUAUUGAUCCUGAAGAGGUAUGUAUAGUAGGAGAGAAUCUUGAACCAGAACUUGCCUACCAGCUGAAGCUGUAUGAACUAAAUUGUGGA